ACACCGGCAGCUCAAGUGGUGGCCAUUUUUAUUGGGCCUAAAGCGUUCGUAGCCGGCUUGAUAAGUCUCUGGUGAAAUCCCAUAGCUUAACUGUGGGAAUUGCUGGAGAUACUAUUAGGCUUGAGGCCGGGAGAGGUUAGGGGUACUCCCAGGGUAGGGGUGAAAUCCUAUAAUCCUGGGAGGACCACCUGUGGCGAAGGCGCCUAACUGGAACGGACCUGACGCUGAGGUGCGAAAGCGUGGGGAGC
rnacentral:rRNA from 1 species